UCGAGAAUUUUUCUCAAUGGGCGAAAGCCUGAAGGAGCGACGCCGCGUGGGGGAUGAAUGGCUUCGGCCCGUAAACCCCUGUCAUUCGCGAACAAAUUAUUUCACUUAACACGUGAAGUAUUGAUUGUAGCGGAAGAGGAAGGGACGGCUAACUCUGUGCCAGCAGCCGCGGUAAUACAGAGGUCCCAAGCGUUGUUCGGAUUCACUGGGCGUAAAGGGUGCGUAGGCGGUUAGGUAAGUCUGUUGUGAAAUCUCCGAGCUUAACUCGGAAACUGCAGUGGAUACUAUCUAACUAGAGGAAUGGAGGGGAGACUGGAAUACUUGGUGUAGCAGUGAAAUGCGUAGAUAUCAAGUGGAACACCAGUGGCGAAGGCGAGUCUCUGGACAUUUCCUGACGCUGAGGCACGAAAGCCAGGGGAGCAAACGGGAUUAGAUACCCCGGUAGUCC
rnacentral:rRNA from 1 species